rnacentral:tRNA from 1 species
GGCAAAUGGCGCAGUUUAUAGAGCGCUUCCCUUGCAAGGAAGAGGUUAUCGGUUCAAGUCCGGUCUUGUCCA